rnacentral:rRNA from 1 species
CCUACGGGAGGCAGCAGUGAGGAAUAUUUGUCAAUGGGCGCUAGCCUGAACCAGCCAAGUCGCGUGAAGGAUGACUGCCCUAUGGGUUGUAAACUUCUUUUAUAUGGGAAUAAAGUGCAGUAUGUAUACUGCUUUGCAUGUACCUUAUGAAUAAGGAUCGGCUAACUCCGUGCAAGCAGCCGCGGUAAUACGGAGGCUCCGAGCUUUAUCCGGAUUUAUUGGGUUUAAAGGGAGCGUAGGUGGGUUGUUAAGCCAGUUGUGAAAGUUUGCGGCUCAACCGUAAAAUUGCAGUUGAAACUGGCAUCCUUGAGUACAGUAGAGGGAGGCGGAAUUCGGGGUGUAGCGGUGAAAUGCUUAGAUAUCACGAAGAACCCUGAUUGCGAAGGCAGCCUGCUGGACUGUAACUGACGCUGAUGCUCGAAAGUGUGGGUAUCAAACAGGAUUAGAUACCCGGGUAGUC